rnacentral:tRNA from 1 species
UGCAUCGCCCGGGAAUCGAACCCUGGCCGCCAGCGUGGCAGGCGAGCAUUCUACCACUGAACCACCGAUGC